rnacentral:lncRNA from 1 species
UUCGCUUACGAUGGGGCGACUCUUGUCCAUCGUCACCUCACCGGGAAACUUUUCCUGCCGGGCCAGUUAAUGGUCCCCUGUACCAUCCCCAUCCUGAGUGACUACUAAGCAGCCGCAGCGACUCGGGGUUGCUCCGUGACCACGUUACUCAGUUAACCUUCUUGUUCCCUGGAGAGGCGGAGCUGAAUGGCCCGUGAGUGUCGCGUGCUUCAGAUUCCUGCGAAGGAUUAUUUAAAAAAUGGAAAAAGUUAACUUUCAUUUGCAGGGUCCCUUUCAUUUGAAGAGCAUCUGAGAUGGCGUCCCAGAUAAGGAGGCACUUGAACUCCUUAGAAGUACUGUAUUAAGUUAUUUUGAGACUUUAGGAGAGUGCCUAGGUGAUUCCUAAAAAUUCCUUUAUAACGUGAAAGUAACCAAACUUAGUUAGAACUUAGUUUAAGUGCUUGGUAGCUCCAGAAAUUCCUUGGCACAUUACACACACUAUUUCAUUUAGUUAUCACAACGACACUUAGGUGGGAGUUGUUACUGUUUUCGUUUUAUAGAUGAAGCA